rnacentral:rRNA from 1 species
GACGAACGCUGGCGGCGUGCCUAACACAUGCAAGUCGAACGGGGUAAUUCCUUCGGGGAUUACUUAGUGGCGAACGGGUGAGUAACGCGUGAGAAACCUGCCUUUCAGUGGGGGACAACAGUUGGAAACGACUGCUAAUACCGCAUAAUGUUAUUUGGGGGCAUCACUGAAUAACCCACGCUUUAUUGCUGAAAGAUGGUCCUGCGUCUGAUUAGCUAGUUGGUGAGGUAACGGCUCACCAAGGCGACGAUCAGUAGCCGGUCUGAGAGGAUGAACGGCCACAUUGGGACUGAGAUACGGCCCAGACUCCUACGGGAGGCAGCAGUGGGGAAUAUUGGGCAAUGGGCGAAAGCCUGACCCAGCAACGCCGCGUGAAGGAAGAAGGCCUUCGGGUUGUAAACUUCUUUUAGCAGGGACGAAUUUUGACGGUACCUGCAGAAAAAGCAACGGCUAACUACGUGCCAGCCGCCGCAGUAAGAC